rnacentral:rRNA from 1 species
AUGAACGCUGGCGGCGUGCCUAAUACAUGCAAGUCGAGCGAACAGACGAGGAGCUUGCUCCUCUGACGUUAGCGGCGGACGGGUGAGUAACACGUGGAUAACCUACCUAUAAGACUGGGAUAACUUCGGGAAACCGGAGCUAAUACCGGAUAAUAUAUUGAACCGCAUGGUUCAAUAGUGAAAGACGGUUUUGCUGUCACUUAUAGAUGGAUCCGCGCCGCAUUAGCUAGUUGGUAAGGUAACGGCUUACCAAGGCGACGAUGCGUAGCCGACCUGAGAGGGUGAUCGGUCACACUGGAACUGAGACACGGUCCAGACUCCUACGGGAGGCAGCAGUAGGGAAUCUUCCGCAAUGGGCGAAAGCCUGACGGAGCAACGCCGCGUGAGUGAUGAAGGUCUUCGGAUCGUAAAACUCUGUUAUUAGGGAAGAACAAAUGUGUAAGUAACUAUGCACGUCUUGACGGUACCUAAUCAGAAAGCCACGGCUAACUACGUG